rnacentral:rRNA from 1 species
AAUAGAUACCCGGGUAGUCCACGCCGUAAACGAUGAGUGCUAAGUGUUAGAGGGUUUCCGCCCUUUAGUGCUGCAGCUAACGCAUUAAGCACUCCGCCUGGGGAGUACGGCCGCAAGGCUGAAACUCAAAGGAAUUGACGGGGGGCCCGCACAAGCGGUGGAGCAUGUGGUUUAAUUCGAAGCAACGCGAAGAACCUUACCAGGUCUUGACAUCCUCUGACAACCCUAGAGAUAGGGCUUCUCCUUCGGGAGCAGAGUGACAGGUGGUGCAUGGUUGUCGUCAGCUCGUGUCGUGAGAUGUUGGGUUAAGUCCCGCAACGAGCGCAACCCUUGAUCUUAGUUGCCAUCAUUAAGUUGGGCACUCUAAGGUGACUGCCGGUGACAAACCGGAGGAAGGUGGGGAUGACGUCAAAUCAUCAUGCCCCUUAUGACCUGGGCUACACACGUGCUACAAUGGACGGUACAAAGAGCUGCAAGACCGCGAGGUGGAGCUAAUCUCAUAAAACCGUUCUCAGUUCGGAUUGUAGG